GGGUGCAGUGUGACCUGGCAACAAUUAGAGUGUGUUUGAAGCUCUUCAAAGGCUUCUUCUCGACCUUUCUAAAGUACAGCAAAACUCUCCAAAGAGAUUAUGAAAAGAAAACCGAGUCAUUUUGAGAUCGUACUGAUUUCAAGAGCGGGCGGGAUCACAUUCGAGCCCCACCUCUGUCUAAGUUGCUACUGGAACCAUGCUACACGAAGGGGUAGAACUUACUGUUUUAGAAGAGGCUCCAUUCAGAAGGCUCAGCCACGGAUAAAAAGAGCCCGACACCACUGGGCAUGAGAAGAGGGACAGGUGUGGGUGCAGUGAACCAGCAACAUUCAGGAGAACUGGCCUGCCCAUCAGAUCAGAAACCAAUCAGCAACUAGAUGGAUGAUCAGAGAAAGCACAAGCAACCGCAAGUGGAGACUACAGCAUGUCACAACUGUCAGAAGCACGUCACAACUGUCAGAAUGGGACAGCAGAACAUUUUGAGAUAAGUCACACCAAACAGACCUUGAUGGACAGUGGUUUGGGAAACACUAUUUUGUGUUUUUUU